UCACCGCAAGCUUUCUUUGAUAUACUGCAACUUAUGAUUGGCCCACUACCACAGCAGCUACAACCCAUACAGUCUGUGUUGUGCUGCAUCUGACUGAUG